UUUCGCUCUUAGAAGUUUGUAUCUCGUGUGUGGUAGUAGUCAGGAUUAAAAGCCUAACUAGCUAAACGCACGCAGUCGUAACCGAAAGGUUGAUCGACCACAGUGGGCCUGAACAAAGCCCAUGACGAUUGUCACAGCAGUGAGGAAUAUUGGUCAAUAGCCUAACGGCUGAACCAGCAACUUGGAGGAAUGUAUAGCAAUAGCUACUUGUAUCAUUGUAGAUAUGAUGCAAGAUCGACUUGGUCGAAUAAAAUUCUAGGUAGAAUUAUGAUAAUGACAUUGUCUGCCUAUGUGUCUUGACCAAAUUACGUGCCAGCUGUCGCGGUAAUACGUAGAAGACUAGUGUUAUUCAUGUUUAGUCGGUUUAAAGGGUACCUAGACGGUAAAUCAAGCCUACAAAUAAAUGAAGGGACUAUUUUGCUAGAGUUACUUACGAGGGGGUUUUAAAGUACUGCUGGUGUAGAGAUGAAAUUCUGUAAUACCUCUUUUCAAUUGAAAAAUAAUGGCACAGGUAUAGGCGAAGGCAUCCCCUUAUGUGAUAACUGACGUUGAGGGACGAAGGCUUUGUGUAGCGAACAGGAUUAGAUACCCCAGUAGUCAAAGCAGAAAAUGAUGAAUGUCAUAGAUUAGACGUCUAAGUUUAUUCUAUAAAUGAAAGUGUAAGCAUUCCACCUCAAGAGUAAUUUGGCAACAUUGGAACUGAAAUCAUUAGACCGUUUCUGAAACCAGUAGUGAAGUAUGUUGUUUAAUUUGAUGCCACGCAAAAAACCUUACCACAAUUUGAANAUUUAUAUUUUUUUUUUUAUUAUUGUUUUAUUUUUAAUUUUCUUAAAGGACUAGGAAAGAAUUAUAUUAAAUUAGAUUAUUAAAAAUAAAGGCAAUAAGAUAUAUUUACAAGUGUUGCACGGCUGUCUUCAGUUAAUGUCGCGAGACUCUGGUUAGUUCCAUGAAAUUAACGUAAACCCUUACUUUAUUUUUUAUAUAGAGUAGUUCCCCGCUAUAU
rnacentral:rRNA from 1 species